CAACAACUCUGUUUUGUGUUUAAUUUUUUCUUUGUUUCUGAAAAUUUUUUUGGCAACUGUGAAUCUGGGUUUUCAAUUCACGUGUUAAUAUAAAAUUUUGAUCGAUGAUGGAAAACAACAGAGAAAAGGAGACUGGCUCUCACUACAGCUGGUUCGGCUUCUGGGAUUGCAUCAGGUAUUAUCCAGACCUACCUCUUCAGAACAGAUCAUAGAGGAAAGGCGGAGCGAUUGGGCUUAUUCGAAGCUUGUGGUGGUGCUUGACAUCGUUUGGAACGGUUGCCACAGCUGUUUUGGUUAUGAGCAUCCGAUUAUACUGCCUAGAAUUUGUUUAUGAGCUUUUUAUGUUCUACAAAACAAUUGGGAAUGGCUCAAGCACGAGCUGCUGAAUUAGAGAAGCAGAUCCUUGCAUUAACGGUUUUGACCAUCCUACAAAUAUAAUCCUUGAUGAAUCUCAUCUCAUGAACGGGUGUUUUCCACAAAGGUUUAAUAGCAGAUAUUGACAUUGAGUCAGAGAAGUUCAGAAGGAUGGGAAGUGCUCGUAUUGACUUCUAUGUACGUUUAGUUAACAAGUUUGACAAUUGUUGCAUUGCAGUUGUUAAGCUACUGGUGAGACUUUAUGAUUUUAAUCGGAUGUUCUUUUAUUGAACUUAAGAAAUGUUUUUACUUUCUUGUUUUCGCAGGCUCUUCAGAGGAUAUUAUGUUUAAGACAAUACAAUGGACGAAUUAUAUUUCUACCAAUACAACAGAUAUUGGUAGAAAUUAAAUUAAAUUAAAUUAAAUUAAAUUAAAUUAAAUUACAUUAAAUUAAAGAUAUUCUACUGUAAGCUCUUAAUUUUAUUACUUUAUGUUUAUUCUGAGUUCUCACCGUUUGAUUGGUAGUAUCUUACUCUUUAUCUUAUGCCCUGAAUCGAAUUGUUAUUGUUCACCGAAAUUGGAACUUGGGCUCUGUGUUAUUUUUUACUUGCCUCCACAAAAUUGUGCAUAUCACUCACUGUGUUUUUUCCGUUGUCCGUUCUCUUCUUGUUUUGUCCGUUGUCCGUUGUCUUCUAUAUGCAGGUCUUCUCUCUGCAAUUGCUUGCUGGUAAGUGGUAAGAAGGUUACUGUACUGCUAUGUGACAGUCCUCAGAGGUGCAUCCGUAUUAUAUGUAGCUAGCUACUGGGAACAAGAACUCUAAACGAGAAGCUAUCAUGGUUCCUGGACGACGGUGGUGAAGGCACAAUUCAAAAUGUUGGAGCUGAUUGCCAUCUAUGCUCUACCCAUUACGUAGGUAACUCCCACUAUAUACUUUGCUUUAAGUUGUGUUUUGAUUUACUACCCACAUGAUUACGGAUUGCUAUCUGUUCAUGUUCAUGUUUUUCUUUUGCUCUCUCUCUCUCUCUCUUUAUUCACGACUAGUAGUCCUCAGCUCUAUAUAUUUGGCUAUGUUUUUGUAAGCUCUUCAUUCUACUUUUAAUGCUUAUUUGGAGUUCUCACCGUUUAUUAAAUUUAAUAGGUUAUUUCAGUCUUAUGUCCUGAAGCUAAUGUUAAAAUUUUGUGCUUAUUACUCACUGUUUGAUCUUUAAAUUCUUGAGGCAGGUAUAUAGU